AUUGAACGCUGGCGGCAUGCUUUACACAUGCAAGUCGGACGGCAGCACAGAGAAGCUUGCUUCUUGGGUGGCGAGUGGCGAACGGGUGAGUAACAUAUCGGAACGUACCGAGCAGUGGGGGAUAACUAAUCGAAAGAUUAGCUAAUACCGCAUAUCUUCUGAGGAAGAAAGCAGGGGACCAUUUGGCCUUGCGCUGUUUGUGCGGCCGAUAUCUGAUUAGCUAGUUGGUGGGGUAAAGGCCUACCAAGGCGACGAUCAGUAGCGGGUCUGAGAGGAUGAUCCGCCACACUGGGACUGAGACACGGCCCAGACUCCUACGGGAGGCAGCAGUGGGGAAUUUUGGACAAUGGGCGCAAGCCUGAUCCAGCCAUGCCGCGUGUCUGAAGAAGGCCUUCGGGUUGUAAAGGACUUUUGUCAGGGAAGAAAAGGGCGGGGUUAAUACCCCUGUCUGAUGACGGUACCUGAAGAAUAAGCACCGGCUAACUACGUG
rnacentral:rRNA from 1 species